rnacentral:rRNA from 1 species
GAUGAACGCUGGCGGCGUGCCUAAUACAUGCAAGUCGAGCGAACGGACGAGAAGCUUGCUUCUCUGAUGUUAGCGGCGGACGGGUGAGUAACACGUGGAUAACCUACCUAUAAGACUGGGAUAACUUCGGGAAACCGGAGCUAAUACCGGAUAAUAUUUUGAACCGCAUGGUUCAAAAGUGAAAGACGGUCUUGCUGUCACUUAUAGAUGGAUCCGCGCUGCAUUAGCUAGUUGGUAAGGUAACGGCUUACCAAGGCAACGAUGCAUAGCCGACCUGAGAGGGUGAUCGGCCACACUGGAACUGAGACACGGUCCAGACUCCUACGGGAGGCAGCAGUAGGGAAUCUUCCGCAAUGGGCGAAAGCCUGACGGAGCAACGCCGCGUGAGUGAUGAAGGUCUUCGGAUCGUAAAACGCUGUUACUAGGGAAGAACAUAUGUGUAAGUAACUGUGCACAUCUUGACGGUACCUAAUCAGAAAGCCACGGCUAACUACGU